AUUGAACGCUGGCGGCAGGCCUAACACAUGCAAGUCGAACGAGUGGCGGACGGGUGAGUAAUGUCUGGGAAACUGCCUGAUGGAGGGGGAUAACUACUGGAAACGGUAGCUAAUACCGCAUAACAUCGGAAGUGCCCAGAUGGGAUUAGCUAGUAGGGGGGGUAAAGGCGCACCUAGGCGACGAUCCCUAGCUGGUCUGAGAGGAUGACCAGCCACACUGGGACUGAGACACGGUCCAUACUCCUACGGGAGGCAGCAGUGGGGAAUCUUGCACAAUGGGCGCAAGCCUGAUGCAGCCAUGCCGCGUGUAUGAAGAAGGCCUUCGGGUUGUAAAGUACGUUCGGCUGGGAGGCGUUACCCACAGAGGAAGCACCGGCUAACUCCGUGCCAGCAGCCGCGGUAAUAC
rnacentral:rRNA from 1 species